rnacentral:rRNA from 1 species
AUAUUGCGCAAUGGAGGAAACUCUGACGCAGCGACGCCGCGUGAGCGAUGAAGGUCUUCGGAUCGUAAAGCUCUGUCCUUGGGGAAGAAGAUCGAAAGAUUUGACGGUACCCGAGGAGGAAGACCCGGCUAACUACGUUCCAGCAGCCGCGGUAAUACGUAGGGGGCAAGCGUUGUCCGGAAUUAUUGGGCGUAAAGGGCGCGCAGGCGGACGGGCAAGUCGGAAGUGAAAUCCCGGGGCUCAACUCCGGGACUGCUUCCGAUACUGCUUGUCUAGGGACCGGUAGAGGCUGGUGGAAUUCCCGGUGUAGCGGUGGAAUGCGUAGAUAUCGGGAAGAACACCCGUGGCGAAGGCGGCCAGCUGGGCCGGAUCCGACGCUGAGGCGCGAAAGCGUGGGGAGCAAACAG